rnacentral:rRNA from 1 species
GACGAACGCUGGCGGCGUGCUUAACACAUGCAAGUCGAACGGAGCGAAUGAAAGCUUGCUUUUAUAAGCUUAGUGGCAAACGGGUGAGUAACACGUAGGCAACCUGCCGACAGGAUGGGGACAACAUUCCGAAAGGAAUGCUAAUACCGAAUGAAGUCGAGGGAGGGCAUCCUCCUCCGAUGAAAGAUGGCCUCUAUAUAUAAGCUAUCACCUGUCGAUGGGCCUGCGUCUGAUUAGCUGGUAGGUGAGGUAACGGCUCACCUAGGCGACGAUCAGUAGCCGGUCUGAGAGGAUGAACGGCCACAUUGGGACUGAGACACGGCCCAGACUCCUACGGGAGGCAGCAGUGGGGAAUCUUCCGCAAUGGGCGCAAGCCUGACGGAGCAACGCCGCGUGAGUGAAGAAGGUCUUCGGAUCGUAAAGCUCUGUUGAUGGGGACGAACGUGCCUAAUGCGAAUAGUAUAGGUAAAGACGGUACCC